GGAGAUGGUUGCGGGGGACCCUCAGGUGCAGCUGUGACGACCACAACAGGAGUUGAAUUGGAGAUUGCUGCUUGCUCUCUCUCAGCCAUCAUAGUUUCCAUCAUAAGUGUCAUUCUUUCCAUCUCUCCCUUGAGGUUAACCAGUUCCUCUCUGAGCUGAGCGUUUUCCUGUUCUGCCGCUAACAUCCUCUUCUUGAUAUGAGCUCGAGUGUUGUGAAUGCGAGUGGGUUUGUACUGAAUACGCC
rnacentral:lncRNA from 1 species